GCUCCAAUAGCGUAUAUUAAAGUUGUUGCAGUUAAAAAGCUCGUAGUUGGAUUUGUGGCGUACGGUGUGUUCCGGGCACUUGUUGUCUGAGUAACCUGCUGUUGCCAUCCUUGGGUGGAACCUGUGUGGCAUUAGGUUGUCGUGCAGGGGAUGCCAUCAUUUACUGUGAAAAAAUUAGAGUGUUCAAAGCAGGCUUAUGC
rnacentral:rRNA from 1 species